CAUCUGACGUACAUGCGAAGUAGAGGAUCUGCAUAUCUAAGCCUCUGCGAAGGUUUAUAUCAGAUAAUUUGAGAUUUGAUCCUUGGUUCCACUAUAAUUCAGAUAAAGAUUUGAUCUUUAAAAAAGUAGAAUAUUAGAAAAAAUUUUUAGAUGCAACUUGAGUAUUCUGGAGGAAAACUAUUUCCUUCUCUUCAUAAGAAA
rnacentral:lncRNA from 1 species